rnacentral:misc_RNA from 1 species
AUGGGAUUGACCCCUAGGGUCUAACCUCCAACCCUUUGUUUUUACAACCCUUGUUUCUUUGGCGGGUUCGCCCGUCAGAAGAAUUCUCAAACUCAUAUCAAUCGUGUCUUCUGAAAUACAAAAACAAAUAAAAUUA